GACGAACGCUGGCGGCGUGCUUAACACAUGCAAGUCGAACGGAAAGGCCCUGCUUUUGUGGGUUGCUCGAGUGGCGAACGGGUAAGUAACACUUGAGUAACCUGCCCUUGACUUUGGGAUAACUUCAGGAAACUGGGGCUAAUACCGGAUAGGAGCUCCUGCUGCAUGGUGGGGGUGGGAAAGUUUCGGCGGUUGGGGAUGGACUCGCGGCUUAUCAGCUUGUUGGUGGGGUAGUGGCUUACCAAGGCUUUGACGGGUAGCCGGCCUGAGAGGGUGACCGGCCACAUUGGGACUGAGAUACGGCCCAGACUCCUACGGGAGGCAGCAGUGGGGAAUAUUGCACAAUGGGCGGAAGCCUGAUGCAGCAACGCCGCGUGCGGGAUGACGGCCUUCGGGUUGUAAACCGCUUUCGCCUGUGACGAAGCGUGAGUGACGGUAAUGGGUAAAGAAGCACCGGCUAACUACGUG
rnacentral:rRNA from 1 species